AACGAACGCUGGCGGCAUGCCUAAUACAUGCAAGUCGAACGAGAUCUUCGGAUCUAGUGGCGCACGGUGCGUAACGCGUGGGAAUCUGCCCUUGGGUUCGGAAUAACUUCUGGAAACGGAAGCUAAUACCGGAUGAUGACGUAAGUCCAAAGAUUUAUCGCCCAAGGAUGAGCCCGCGUAGGAUUAGCUAGUUGGUGGGGUAAAGGCCCACCAAGGCGACGAUCCUUAGCUGGUCUGAGAGGAUGAUCAGCCACACUGGGACUGAGACACGGCCCAGACUCCUACGGGAGGCAGCAGUAGGGAAUAUUGGACAAUGGGCGAAAGCCUGAUCCAGCAAUGCCGCGUGAGUGAUGAAGGCCUUAGGGUUGUAAAGCUCUUUUACCCGGGAUGAUAAUGACAGUACCGGGAGAAUAAGCUCCGGCUAACUCCGUGCCAGCCGCCGCCGUAA
rnacentral:rRNA from 1 species